CAAAAAUGAUCAGAGGGAUGGAAUAUCUCUCCUAUGAAGAAAGGCUGAGAGUUGAGAUUGUUCAAUGUGGAGAACAGAAGGCUCUGUGCAGACCUUAUCAAGGCCUUUCAGUACUUAAAGGGGGCCUGCAAGAAUGAGGGGGACAAAUGUUGUAGCACGGCCUGAUGCGAAAGGACAAGGGGUAAUGGUUUUAAACUAAAAGAGAGUAGAUUUAGGUAAAAGGAAGAAUUUUUUUUACUGUGAGGGUGGUAAAACACUGGAACAGGUCACCCAGGGAGGUGGUAGAAGCCCCAUCCCUUGCAACAUUCAAGGUCAAGUUAGAUGAGGCUCUGAGCAACCUGAUCUAGUUGAUAGGAUUGGAGUAGAUGACCUUGAAAGUCCCUUCCAACCAAACCAUUCUAUGAUUCUAUAAUUCUAUAACCCUCCUGUCUGGGUGCCCCUGGAGCUGGAUCAGUGCUGGGCCGCCCAUCCUGUGUCCAUGCUGUGUCUGGGAGAGGCAGUGGUGGAGGGAACACUUGGGUGCUGCAGCCUGCCUGAUGUGGUGUUGGAUGGGGGGCUCUGCUGACCUUGCACACGUAAAACAUUUCUGUGUACUAGUAUCAAAUAACCUGGUUUUGUCAGUGCAGCUGCUUGAGAUUGCACUCAUGUAAAUAAAGACUUGUACAGGGCUAGGCAUGGCUAGAAUAAGAGUAAAGAUCUAUUUUCUUGACCCAUCCUGUGAACCAAGUGGAAUUAUUCAUCAAUAUAUGGCAUUGCUGGUUUUAUACUUGCAGUAGUGAUUUUUUAGAAUCUGACCAGUUUGUGGAACCAGCAGUUUAGGACAAUGGGAAUAUUUCCCGUGGAUUUGAGAGGGCACAUACUUACACCUUCUUCAUUCUUUCUGAAGUUGAAGCAAAGGUUUUUUUCCUAAUGAAAUAUGAAUUUAGAGUAAUAAGCAGAAGGGUUCUGUAGAGCCAGAUGUUGAAAUCUACUGCAUAGCACCAACUUACAGUGCAGAGUUUGAUUUUCUUGGUGCUGAAGUUGGCAUCAGAUCCAUUAAAAUAAUUUUCUAUUUCUCAUCUGCCUCAACACUGGCUGUAUCAAGAGUGGGAUAGUGCGACAAACCAACACAAUGACAAAAGACUUCAGCAAACAAACAAAAUGAUGGUUUUCCUUGAGCAAAUAUGUAAGUGACAGUGCAGCCAUUGAUGAUGGUACUAUGCUAAACUGAGAUAGCAGUUUGCUUUCAAAUCAAACAGCUGAUUUUCUAAUGUUAUUUUUUAAAAUAAGCAUAUUGUUAUUUUCUGAUAAAUGAUGACAUAUAUUAAAUCCAUCGUUAAUUGAGGAACCAUAUGAAGGUUAGGCUAAGGAAAUAACAGCUACCUCAAAAGCCCAGCCUUGCAAGCUUUGUGCUCUGGUAUGGGGCUGUUCUUUUGAAACAGUGAGCUUCUGGUAUUUCAGGACUGUUUUGCACCUAUAGUACCCUAAAGGAGAUCAGUACCAAGAAUGGCUCUGUGGAAGGUGAGGAGAUUUGUCCAUAAGAUAGACCAUUAUCUGUCCCUUUUCAUUGUAAGGAAAUCUUUGGGGAGGGAGGUGUGUGUAUAAAGGAUAGUCAUUACUCGAAGGCUUAGUCUGUUUUCUCAUUUCUGAUCUGAUUCUGCUUUUUGGCAGCAGAGGAUGCUGUGAAGCUGCUGAAGCUCUGCAAGUAAUGUGGGAAGGAGACCUCUGGGCUGGACUCUUCUGCCAUCAGCUGGACAGAAUUCCUGAUGAGCCGCUAGUGACAGAGUGAGGGAAGGAGUGUGUAUUUGCAGGAUAGGUCUGUGGCAGAGGGAGAAGGGCACUACCACCUUAGGGGCUGAGUUUUUUUUUAUUGCAGGAUUGGUUCUCCUGGGUAUAUGAAGGAGGGAGAGGGUAACUGUGCAACCAGAAGCUGCUGUGCUGAAAUCGCUUCUGGCUACCUCCUUGGAAGAUCUGUUCAGGUGAAAGAGUUUGGAAGAACACUGAAACCAGAAGGAAGGUGACAGAUCAAAUAUAUGGAGAGCAAUGCAGGCUCUGCCUCUCUUUCAUGAAAAAGGCCGUGAGGAAAGUUACAUUGAUCAAAAUGGAAAGAUUGCCAGAAAAAAAACAACAAUGGAUUGGAACAGAUGUGCAAAGACAGAUAUCCUCCUUGUCACUGGUUUUUGGGAGCAGCUUGCUGUCUAAAGGCAAAUUUUCCAUCUUUGCAGGAAUAAGGCUGUAUGUGAUACUUUUUAUAAACUUUCAAACGUUACAGUUAGAAGAGAUGCUUUUGCACCACAGAUUCCGGAGCUGGGUAUUUUUCUGACUUACUCUAAUGUCUACUGCAAAAUGUUACUGUGAAGUAUUUCAUAAUGUCAAAGUGUCUUUGGGAAUCUUUGCAGAUAAUAUCACUUAUGGGUACUUACGUUUCACUGAGCAGAAAUGCUCUGAGUGUUAUUACAGGAUGCUGCAGGAAUAACACGUGUAGCUGGAAGGGGCCUUGUUGAAAAUUUCCAUGACUACUAAGCUUAAUGAAGCUUUGUAAGCAACAAUGAAAAAUUAAAGAGAAAAAAUAAUAUUUAGAAAAUAACAACUAAGAAAGAUAUCUUUCUCCAGAGGAUUUUUCUUACGUAUUACUGAAAUGUAUUUCUCAAACUUGCCUGUGAUAAUUAUGCUUGAACUCUAAAAGCCUUAUUUUCACGCUGCCCUCUAUUUUCACUCAGAAAAGGGGCAUUUGCACCCACAGCUAAAAUAACAAAGCCUACAAAGCAGAGGAAAGAAAUGCUUUCAAAAUCAAUACGAAAUCUGGUAAGAAAAGCAAGAGUAUGGUGCAGUAAUAUGAUUCUUUUUUCUUCCAGUUGAAAGUAUUUACAGAGGGAUGCAGCAACUCAAGUUUUCUACUCGCUGACUCACAGAAGUGCUAGUCUGCACAAGCCUUGCUGGUUGCAAAUUUUCAAAUGCUGUUUCAGUAGGGAAUUAAAUGAAUUGCCAGUUCUUGAGUAAAAGACUGGAAGAACUCCAAACAGGUUCCGGCAAUGAAGGUUUGUCCUCUUCACUAUGAGGAGGUUGUGGAGCCAGUACUUGUGCAUACAUGGUUCUAUUUUACCUCAAGGUGACUAUGGUUAUGUCUGAAUUGGCGAGUAUCCUAGAGCAAUAGGAAUUUAUUUGGGGAGCUAUACAGUGCUGAAGACCUGGUGCUUUUUUAAGGUGGUUAAUUUGGACUGAGUCUAGUCAAGUCCCAUGGACCGAUUGCCCUUUUGCAGGUGAACCAUCCAAGGUGAGCUUAUGAAGCACAUCUUCCAAUUUCGUUUUGCCCAAAAGAAAUCCAGUCCAUGUGCUCUGAGGCUGUUCUGUCACAUGAAACCAAGUGCUGAAUAUGGGAGCUAUUGGGAGACUGGAAAGCACCUUUUAACGUGAAUGCUAAUGUAGGCACUCUCCCUCAACUAAUAACUACACUGUCAUCAGAUCAUAACACAAUACUGAUACUUCAUUUUAUUACAAAGUGCAUUCAUCAACGGCAUCACAGGAGCACAGGGUGAAAUUGAUAUUUGUGAUUAAUGUCAAGGUCUUAUUUGUCAUCUAUUUUCCCAUUUUUCAUCUCAGAUUAUAUCUUCCUUAAAGAUAUAUUAAAGGUUUUAUACUUUGUACCUUUGUAUCUUCUUAUUUUGUUUCACUUUGUAAAGCCUACCACUUAGUCCUCUUGUAAUUGUAAGAGGCUUUCAAUGGUUUAGAUCAGGCUCAUAGGUUCUAUACUGUACAACAAAAGCAUUUUUCAGAACUCUUUAGGAUAUUCUUCUCUUUUGUAUCCUCUUUCAUAUUUCUCAUUUGACUUUCAGAGGUUGUUACACGCAUAGGAGCGUCUGCUGGCAUUGUUCCCAACUACAAUGACAGGCUGGGUCAUUAUCAAUGGUUCUUGGAAAUCAAGGAAGAUGUUGGAGCUACUUAUGAAAAACUGCUUACUCUUUUCCAACUACAUUGAUGAGAAUACCAGAAGAAAAUGGUUAAGUUUCACAAUUUAUUGACUGCAUCUGAAGGAACAGCUUUUAGCUGUGGCAAUAUAUUCAGUUUCAUGCAUGUCUGUUAGCCAAGUAGAAUACUUCUCAUUUAAUAAAUUCUGUGCAAGAGAUCUUUUAUGAACACUAAUCAUUGGCAUGAACUCUGUUUUGGCUGCUAUGGUGCUACAGCAGUGGUACCUUUUGAUGGAAGCACAAAUACCAUCUUCCAGGACAGUAUCUAGUUAUAGUAGCACAGUUGUACUGCCUAAAGUGCUGAUGAUCGUUGCAGGAACAGGGAGGUCAUCUACAUGAAAGACUGGUAUAAAGUGAAAAAAUUCUAUACCCCCUAGCUGGCUGUAAAAGCGGUUCUGUUUUUGAAAAUAACCAAAGCUGGAGCCACAGAUGCUGAAAACAUUGUGCUGUAGGUCUGGCACUGACUGUCAUUACAACAGGUGCAUCCAUCACAUCAGUAAUGCUAUCUCCUUUUAGCCUACAUAGAGACAAAGCGUAAGUGCGUUGUGGAUUCAGUAUCACGUAAACAGGAAUAACAAAGUUCAAGUAAAACAGAUCUUUAAAGAAUGUGACUGAUAGAAUUUUUUAAGCUUUUUGUUAAAGAUAUUUCAAGGUUGGAACCAAAAGGAUUUGGACAAACUAGUGCAUUGGGCUAAGAAUGGAAAGCAAUGCAUACAGCACCAUACAGGGCUGGCUUUUCAAGCCUCUCUUGGAGAGAGGAUAUGAAAGAGAACAGAACUACUGAAAGGGCAUCUAUGUGGAAAAUGGUCACUCAA